AGUGAACGCUGGCGGUAGGCCUAACACAUGCAAGUCGAACGGCAGCGCAGUAAGAGCUUGCUCUUACGGGUGGCGAGUGGCGGACGGGUGAGGAAUACAUCGGAAUCUACUUUUUCGUGGGGGAUAACGUAGGGAAACUUACGCUAAUACCGCAUACGACCUACGGGUGAAAGCAGGGGAUCUUCGGACCUUGCGCGAUUGAAUGAGCCGAUGUCGGAUUAGCUAGUUGGCGGGGUAAAGGCCCACCAAGGCGACGAUCCGUAGCUGGUCUGAGAGGAUGAUCAGCCACACUGGAACUGAGACACGGUCCAGACUCCUACGGGAGGCAGCAGUGGGGAAUAUUGGACAAUGGGCGAAAGCCUGAUCCAGCCAUACCGCGUGGGUGAAGAAGGCCUUCGGGUUGUAAAGCCCUUUUGUUGGGAAAGAAAAGCAGCAGGUUAAUACCCCGCUGUUCUGACGGUACCCAAAGAAUAAGCACCGGCUAACUUCGUG
rnacentral:rRNA from 1 species